UGGGGAAUAUUGGACAAUGGGCGCAAGCCUGAUCCAGCCAUGCCGCGUGAGUGAUGAAGGCCCUAGGGUUGUAAAGCCCUUUCACCGGUGAAGAUAAUGACGGUAACCGGAGAAGAAGCCCCGGCUAACUUCGUGCCAGCAGCCGCGGUAAUACGAAGGGGGCUAGCGUUGUUCGGAUUUACUGGGCGUAAAGCGCACGUAGGCGGACUUUUAAGUCAGGGGUGAAAUCCCGGGGCUCAACCCCGGAACUGCCUUUGAUACUGGAAGUCUUGAGUAUGGUAGAGGUGAGUGGAAUUCCGAGUGUAGAGGUGAAAUUCGUAGAUAUUCGGAGGGACCCCAGUGGCGAAGGCGGCUCACUGGACCAUUACUGACGCUGAGGUGCGAAAGCGUGGGGAGCAAACAGG
rnacentral:rRNA from 1 species